rnacentral:lncRNA from 1 species
GUUAUGGUUCAUAUUCUGGUUUUAUUCUCGUUAAGUUGGUUAAUAAUAAUUAGUUAAGGUGCUGCGUUUUUGUUAAGACGUUUAGUGAUACGGUGAGUUUGGAUUGAACAAAACGGGUGCGUUUAGUAAAAUACGGUUAUUGUUUUCACUAUAUUACGUGUAACAGAAAGGAGGUUGGACAUGAAUAUUGAAUACAGAUUUUCUCAGCUUCACUGUGCUCAAGCUUCCUUUUCUUUCUUUUCUAAGAUUUCUCACUUCUUCUUCAAUUCUAUUUCUAUCUAUGAACGUUCUUCUACAAAGGUAUCAGAGCCUGACGAUCUUCAUGACUUGCGACGGUGUAACCACGAGGAUGCAAAAGGAGCUUGGUCAAAUCCAAUGUGAACUCUCUCACAUCCAAUUGGAGUUUUCUCAAUUAGAUGCUCAAAUUAAUGUUCGUUUGAAGGGACUACAGGAAGAUAUCAAAUCACAGGUACGUACAGAACUUCGUUCCGAACUGCAUACUCUGUUUGAGUAAUAUUUUGGUCAGGGACCUCUAGUGGCGUGGGAUGCACGAGUGGCAGCAAGAGGAAGGGUAUUCUGGGAUCUCCACCAGGAUUUCCAUCGCAGGAACAUUUGAUAGUAUCUCUGAUGGUGGAUCUGGGUCAUUUUAACUCCUCGUCGCGUGGAAUGCUAGCAGAAGCGGAUCGAUCUACUUUUAGAAUGGCAUGUCCAAUGUUCAAUGGUGGCAACUUUAGAGGAUGGUGGUCCAAACUUGAGCAAUAUUUUGAAGCAGAAAAGAUCGGGGACCAUGCUAAGGUUCGACUUGUGAUGCUACAUUUGGAAGGUAAAGCUCUUGAGUGGCAUCAUUUCUUUGCCAGGAGACAUGGAGGGUUGUAUCAAUUGUCAUGGGAAAUGUAUGCAAAAGGGUUGAGGGAACGAUUCGGUUCAGAAUCUUUCCUUGAUCCGAUGGGAGAGUUAGUGACCUUUAAACAAAUCGAUUUUGUCGAUUAGUACCAUGAUGGGUUUCUGAGUUUGUUGAAUCAGCUUAACUUGCCUAAAAUGUAUACAUUGAGUAUAUUCCUCAGUAAUCUUAAGCCUAAGAUAGGCCAAUAUCUCAGGUUGUUUAAACCUCAAUCAUUAGUUGAGGGAUUCAACUUAGCUAGACAAGUGGAAAAAAUUGUGUUUGGUCCAGCUAAGCGUGAGAAUAUACCGCCUACAGGGGUAAAUGUGGGCAGACCUUUGUUGCCUGUAGCAAGAAACUUUAGAGGAAAUAGUAGCUCCAGUUCAAUAAAUGAGUCAAUAAAUGGGAAAGACGGCUCUAAAAUGCCUUCAAAAUCCUUGUCGCAGGCAGAAUUGGAAGAUAGGAGGAAGAAAGGCCUUUGUUUUUGGUGUGGUCUUAAGUAUUCUCCUGGUCACAAGUGUUCUAAGUCCCAGGUGUAUCAGCUAGUGGUGGAACCGUAGGAAGAUAGUAAUUCUGAAGCAAAGAGUCAUUCUCAAGACGAUUUCCAAGACUGUCCUGAAUAGUUGGAAUCUAUGGAGUUGGGUUCAGAAAGUUCUACACCGGUGUUAUCUUUGCAUGCAUUGCAUGGAUCACAAGGUCACAACACCAUGAGGUUUCCAGCAAUGAUCGACUAAGUUGAGGUGGUGGCUUUGGUAGAUUCAGGCAGCACACACAAUUUCAUUGAUUUCAAGGUAGCUAAACUACUAUAGUUGACCAUUGAAUCUGAGCCUAGCCUAAAGGUGAUGGUGGCAAAUGGUGUCAAACUGAGCACCCAGGGAUUAUGUAAGGUUGUACGAUGGGAAGCACAGGGGUAUAAAUAUACCACGGAUUUUUUAGUUCUCUCAGUCAAAAGGUCUGACUUAGUUCUGGGAAUUCAAUGGUUGCUUUCCUUAGGACCGAUUGUGUGGGACUUUGCAAAACUGACUAUGAAAUUUCAGUAUAGAAACCAAAAAUGCAAUUUAAAGAGUACUGUCCCUGGGCCAAUGCAGAUUGUUCCGAGUGGCCGGUUUUCUAAAUGCAUGAGUCUAGCAGGUAAUGGCCCUUGUCCAAUGCUGCUAACUUCUUGUGAUCAGACUGUGCUUGAGUUGAAAUCAGAUUCUUCACUUCCCGAGUUAUAAAAUUUGCUUGGAGAUUUUGAAGAUGUUUUUCAGGUACCCACACAACUACCAACCCCUAGAUUCCACGACCACAAGAUCCCAUUAGUGGAUGAAUCUCAGGUGCUGAAAAUGCGCCCUUAUAGGUAUCCAACAGUGCAGAAAACUGAAAUUGAAAGACUAGUUCGGGAAAUGUUACAGGCUGGGAUUAUUCGAGAUAGCAAUAGUCCUUUUGCUUCUCCAGUGGUUAUGGUCAAGAAGAAGGAUGGGAGUUGGCGCCUUUGUAUAGACUACAGACAGCUAAAUCAGUUGACAGUUAAAGAUAGAUUUCCCAUUCCCAUCAUUGAAGAAUUGUUAGAUGAGUUGGGACAAGCACACUUUUUCUCUAAGUUGGACCUGCGUUCUGGUUAUCACCAGAUUCGAAUGAGUGAGCAGGGCAUUUUCAAAACGGCGUUCAGAACCCAUGAUGAUCAUUAUGAGUUCUUGGUCAUGCCAUUUGGCUUGACCAAUGCACCAUCGAGUUUUUAGUCCUUGAUGAAUUCAGUUUUCCGAUCUAUGUUAAGAAGAUCAGUGUUGGUAUUUUUUGACGAUAUCCUUGUCUAUUCGUGAGGUUGGUCUGACCACUUGGAUCAUUUACAUGAGGUUUUGCAGGUGCUUCGAGAAAAUCAGUUGUUUGCCAAGAGGUUUAAAUGUAGUUUUGGAGCUACACAUGUGGAAUAUUUAGGCCACAUCAUUGCCCAAGGGACUGUUAGCAUGGAUCGAUCAAAGGUAAUGAGCGUACUAGAUUGGCCUCCUCCAAGAUCAGUCAAAGAACUACGGGGAUUCCUUGGCUUGUCGGGUUAUUACAGUAGGUUUAUAAGGGGAUACGGGUUAAUAGCUAAACCUCUCACUGUACUUUUACGUAAGGGGGUCUUAUGGGAGUGGACCGAGCAGGAACAACAAGCAUUCGAGCAACUCAAGUCAGCAAUUUGUAAAGCCCCAGUUCUGACUCUGCCAAAUUUUCAAGAACAGUUUUGUGUCGAAAUAGAUGCUAAUGGGCAAGGAGUGGGAGCUGUUCUUCAACAAAAGGGAAAGCGAAUAGCUUUCUUUAGUAAAGCUUUGGGAGUUAAAUACCAAGCUCUAUCCAUCUAUGAUAAGGAGAUGAUGGCAGUGUUACUAGCAGUAAAGAAGUAACACUCUUACCUUAUGGGUAGAGCUUUUGUCAUCAAAAUAGAUCAUCAGAGUUUGAAAUUCAUUUCGGAGCAACAAGCUAUUACGCUCUAUCAACAAAAGUGGGUGGCUAAGAUGCUUGGGUAUGAUUAUUCAAUCGUGUAUCGAAAAGGGGCGCAAAACGUAGUGGCAGAUGCAUUAUCCAGGAAACCUUCAGAAUUGGAACAUCAGUUGUUGCAAUGUGAAGGCAAUCUGGAGUCAGAUUGGUCUACAAUUUGGGACAAGAUUGUAAGUUUGUAUGAGAGGGAUCAGAGUCUUGCUCAACUUUGUGAGCAAGUGCGUGCGUAGCCACAGUUGCAUCCUAAAUAUUCGUGGCAUGGCACCUUUUUGCGUAGAAAAAAAAAGUCGUGGUUGGAAAAGAUGCAACACUGCGAAAGCAUAUUUUUGACAUCUUCCACAACACACCCUUAGGAGGUCACUCUGGAAUCCUUGCGACUCGCCAGAGAAUAUCUGUUAUAUUGUAUUGGAAGGGGCUGUCCAAAGAUGUAUAUGAUUGGGUUAGCGAGUGUGUGAUGUGUUAAAGGUGUAAGUAGGACAAUGCAGCAUCGCCUGGUCUUUUGCAACCGUUACCCAUUCUGGAACGGGUCUGGUCUGACAUCAGCAUGGACUUCAUUAAGGGACUGCCACUUUCUCAAGGAAAAUCAACCAUCUUUGUAGUGGUUGAUCGUCUAACCAAGUACGGUCAUUUUUUGGCACUUGCUCAUCCUUUCACAGCUCUUAUAGUGGCACAGGAGUAUUUCAACCAUAUUUACAAGCUUCAUGGGAUUCCGGAAACCAUUGUCUCCGAUAGGGAUAAAAUUUUUCUAAGUCAAUUUUGGCAGGAGUUGUUCAAACACUUGGGAACCAAAUUGAAGAAAUCUACAGCCUAUCACCCUCAAAUAGAUGCGCAAAUCGAGGUGUUGAACAAAUGCUUGGAGGGAUACUUGCGAUACAUGGUUGGGGAAAAACCCUCAGCAUGGUUAUCAUGGUUACCACUGGCUGAGUGGUGGUAUAACACGACAUACCAUUUAGCAAUUCAAACAACGCCUUAUGAAGCUCUUUAUGGACAGCUCCCACCUAUCCAUCUACCUUAUGUGGUGGGUGCAUCCCCAGUAGAUUCAGUAGAUUGUACCCUACAGCAUAGAGAGAUUAUGCGCAAGAUUCUCAAGUUCCACUUGUCCCGGGCUCAAGAUAGAAUGAAACAAAUGGCUGACAGAAAAAGACUAGAAAGGGAGUUCCAGGUGGGUGACUUAGUUUAUCUAAAGCUUCAGCCAUAUCGUCAACACUCCCUGCGCAAAUUAAGAAACCAAAAAUUGUCACCCCGAUAUUUUGGUCCUUUUCCUGUGGAAGCUCGAAUAGGGCAGGUGGCUUACAAGUUGACAUUACCCGCUUCAGCUCGAAUUCAUCACACUUUCCAUGUUUCACGGUUAAAGAAGCAUAUUGGUUCAGCAGUAAGCGCUUCCACGCUACCAUCAGUCGCUUCGGAUGGUGCUCUUCUUAAAUCUCCAGUGCGAGUGUUGGAUAGGAGGAUGGUCCGACAAGGUAAUCAUGCUGCGGUGGAAGUAUUGGUUGAAUGGGCGGACACUUUUCCUAAGGAUGCUUCCUGGGAGAAGUUGUCUGAGUUACAACGCAGGUUUCCUACCUUUGAUCCUUAAGGACAAUGAUUUCUUUUAGGGCGGGUAAAUUGUUAUGGUUCAUAUUCUGGUUUUAUUCUCGUUAAGUUGGUUAAUAAUAAUUAGUUAAGGUGCUGCGUUUUUGUUAAAACGUUUAGUGAUACGGUGAGUUUGGAUUGAACAAAACGGGUGCGUUUAGUAAAAUACGGUUAUUGUUUUCACUAUAUUACGUGUAAUAGAAAGGAGGUUGGACAUGAAUAUUGAAUACAGAUUUUCUCAGCUUCACUGUGCUCAAGCUUCCUCUUCUUUCUUUUCUAAGAUUUCUCACUUCUUCUUCAAUUCUAUUUCUAUUUACGAACGUUCUUCUACAUUCUCUAGCCCUAAAUCCCCAUUCACCCUUCGAUUGUGACGAAGCGAUGAGGAUUCGACGGCACCGAUCAGGUAAAUUUCUCGUCCUCUAAUCUCUCUCUUUUUCUAUGUACCAUAAGUAAAAAAAGAUUCAAGAAACAAAAAGCGAAAUAAUCGAAGGCAAAAAACGAGAUUUCAAAUCACCUUAAAAAAACUCUGAUUGUUUUCUUUUUUUUUCUUUUCGUAUUUCUAUUCAAAUCUGUGAAUCCCCCUUUACAAAAUGAAUCGAUCGGCUUUUAUAUUGCCGACUAUUACACAGAAUUAUUUUUCCUUUUUUGUCUUUUUUUCUUUUUUCCUAUUAUCCUCGUGUAUAUCUUCUGCUAUUGCUGGUUUGUUACACUUGCAGGUACAGCCAGCUGUGGAGACGCACGUAGGACGUGUACGGGGCUGCUGCGCAUGGGUGAAGGGGCUUGGCUGCUGCGGCACUGCUGGUUACUGAAAAUUAGGGUUUUUGGAAACUGUUUAGGGCUAGGUAUUGGGCUUAGUUUUUUGGGUUUGUAUAACUAGACAUUUGGACUGUUAUUUAAUUUUUAUUUAUUUUUGUGUUUUAUUUUCGAUUUUUCUUUUGGUGUUUACUGGGCCGGGCAAAUUGGGUAUUACAAUGCUGAUGUGUUUAGCCAGACAAUAACAUAUAUGCUAGUACAUACCUUGAGUUUGGAUCCAAGUGUGUAGCCUAUCAAACCAAAAAAGUUCACUCCACCAAUGGUCCGCGUUAUAUAAAGAAAGGUUGAUAAGCUUGUAGCUGAUAAUUUCACUAGAAAAGUCAUGUAUCAAUAUUGGAUCUCAAAUGUCGUGAUAGUUUUUUUUUAAACAUUAAUCUUAUUAUAGGUUCUUAUCGUAUCUGUUCUUUUUGAUACAAUGUCUAGAACUACCCAUAGCCCCUUCCCAACUCUUAAAUAAGAGGAUAAUGUACUUUAACGCACUCAAACUCACGUUCUCUUACACUGG